ACUUUGGGGGUGCUUGGGAGAGGGAGAUCAAGUCAGUCAAGUCUGCUUUACAUACCGUAAUAGGUGUUCAAUCAGUCGCAGAAGAGGUACUGUACACUGUGUUACUUGAGGUUGAAGCCAUUUUAAACACAAAACCACUGGGCUACACUUCAUCCAGUGUUGCUGACUUGGAUGCUAUAACCCCGAAUGUUCUUCUGAUGGGGCGGCUCGAUGGAGCCCUUCCUCCUGUAGUGUACAGUAAAGAUGAGGGCCUAAGCAAGCGGAGAUGGCGGUACUGCCAAGUUCUGGCAGAUCAUUUUUGGUCCCGAUUCAUUAAGUAUUACCUACCAUCCUUGCAGUGCCGACAGAAGUGGCAUGGCACCCCAGCUGACCUCACAGUGGGUACAGUAGUCUUGAUGAUGGACCCCCAGUUCCCCAGAGCUUUCUGGCCAAUUGGUAGAGUGAUAAAAGUGCAUCCUAGCGCAGAUGGUCACGUGAGAUCAGUAGACAUUAAGGUCAAAGACAAGAUCUACACCCGCCCGGCAGUCCGACUAAUUGUUCUCCCAGAAAUCCCGGAAUCGGAGGAGGAUAAGAAACACCCUCCAGUGACUUCAGAUUAAAAAGUGAGCCUUUUACAUGAGCAAAUUGCACACAAUUUGGGGGCGGCUGUGUAAAAGGCCAUUGAGUAAUGUUGAGUUUCGGAGACUUUUAUUCUGAAAUCGCGGCACAUACCGAAACCGGAAUAGGCGCUAUUGAAUACAGAGAGAACUGUUGUUGCAUCAGUCAUUGCCGAGCGCGGCUCGUUGUCUGAAGUAGCACUGGAAACGUGCAUUGCUGCUAUACUGAGUGUCUGACUGGAUGUAAUUGUGCUUCUGUGCGUGUUAUGAGAAGAAACCACAACCUUUAUAAGCACAACUCAUCGGCUACACACUCAUUUAAUCAGGACAUCAGUAAAUUAACAGCUCCGCAAGGGCAAUCUACAUUGUGAGGAAAGGCUCUUAUGUUUGUCUAUGGCCAAGUGAUACGCUCAUAGCACUCUGAAGGCUCUUUGGAACACUGUUUUACCCACAUACCGCAAACCAAUCUCAAGGCUGGGCCUAAACGUCAGGUCCGUGGGCUACUGGUAAUAGUGUUCUAUAAUUCAUCGUCCUUUGAACCUGUGCACCGGAAACAAUUGGACAUUUCAGUGUACAUCUGCUAAUAUUCACAGUUGGCUCUUCUCUCUCAUGUUCAUACUUACUUGCCACAAUAAAUGUGUUUGAUUUCAUCCCUC